CGCUUCGUGAGGAAACAUGGCGGCCGGCUAUUCGGGGAUGUUGAGGUUGAUGUCGGCGGUGUUCAUUGUCAUCAGCUUUGCUGAUGGGGCAGACACAUCGGACCUGCCAAAAAGUCAACAUCUCUCACUGAGAGCACGUUGUCCGUGAGUUUGGACAUCGUCGACCCCGUCAAUAACCUCCCUGUCAUCACAGCAAAACUGGGCCAGCGAGUCCGUCUCCAGCUGAAGCUGAACAACGUCGAGGAGUUCGGUGUGAACGCUAUCUCUCCAUACAAUCGCUCCGUCGGGACACUGGACCAUGGACACAACGUCGUCUUUACUGACGAACACGGGUUCGUAGACACGUCAUACAUCGCAAUCUGUUCGUUCUGUCUGUCUACUAUACAUUCGCAUCAAGAUUGAGAGAAAGUAAAGCAUAAAGGAAAUUCUCGAUGCUAUUGACUCACUUAAACCUGGAAAAUCUCCAUGC